UACGUAGGGCGCAAGCGUUGUCCGGAAUUAUUGGGCGUAAAGAGCUCGUAGGCGGUUUGUCGCGUCUGCUGUGAAAUCCCGAGGCUCAACCUCGGGCUUGCAGUGGGUACGGGCAGACUAGAGUGCGGUAGGGGAGACUGGAAUUCCAGGUGUAGCGGUGAAAUGCGUAGAUAUCUGGAGGAACACCGGUGGCGAAGGCGGCAUCCUGGACCGAGAUUGACGCUGAGGCGCGAAAGCCAGGGGAGCAAACGGG
rnacentral:rRNA from 1 species